CUAUGGAGAAUUGAUGAACGCUGUUCAUCAAUAUAAGUUUCCGUGUUUCGUUUUGUUCAGUUUUGAGAGAACUAUCUCUCAUAUAUAAAUGUAUGUUCUUUGAAAACUAGAUAACAGUGUAGCUCAUAUUUUUUAAUUUUUAGUUUG
rnacentral:misc_RNA from 1 species